rnacentral:rRNA from 1 species
CCGAAUGGGGAAACCCAGUGUGAUUCGUCACACUAUCAUUAACUGAAUCCAUAGGUUAAUGAGGCGAACCGGGGGAACUGAAACAUCUAAGUACCCCGAGGAAAAGAAAUCAACCGAGAUUCCCCCAGUAGCGGCGAGCGAACGGGGAGGAGCCCAGAGCCUGAAUCAGCAUGUGUGUUAGUGGAAGCGUCUGGAAAGGCGCGCGAUACAGGGUGACAGCCCCGUACACAAAAGCGCAUGUGCUGUGAGCUCGAUGAGUAGGGCGGGACACGUGGUAUCCUGUCUGAAUAUGGGGGGACCAUCCUCCAAGGCUAAAUACUCCUGACUGACCGAUAGUGAACCAGUACCGUGAGGGAAAGGCGAAAAGAACCCCGGCGAGGGGAGUGAAAAAGAACCUGAAACCGUGUACGUACAAGCAGUGGGAGCCUCUUUUAUGGGGUGACUGCGUACCUUUUGUAUAAUGGGUCAGCGACUUAUAUUCUGUAGCAAGGUUAACCGAAUAGGGGAGCCGGAGGGAAACCGAGUCUUAAUUGGGCGUUAAGUUGCAGGGUAUAGACCCGAAACCCGGUGAUCUAGCCAUGGGCAGGUUGAAGGUUGGGUAACACUAACUGGAGGACCGAACCGACUAAUGUUGAAAAAUUAGCGGAUGACCUGUGGCUGGGGGUGAAAGGCCAAUCAAACCGGGAGAUAGCUGGUUCUCCCCGAAAGCUAUUUAGGUAGCGCCUCGUGAAUUCAUCUCCGGGGGUAGAGCACUGUUUCGGCUAGGGGGCCAUCCCGGCUUACCAACCCGAUGCAAACUGCGAAUACCGGAGAAUGUUAUCACGGGAGACACACGGCGGGUGCUAACGUCCGUCGUGAAGAGGGAAACAACCCAGACCGCCAGCUAAGGUCCCAAAGUCAUGGUUAAGUGGGAAACGAUGUGGGAAGGCCCAGACAGCCAGGAUGUUGGCUUAGAAGCAGCCAUCAUUUAAAGAAAGCGUAAUAGCUCACUGGUCGAGUCGGCCUGCGCGGAAGAUGUAACGGGGCUAAACCAUGCACCGAAGCUGCGGCAGCGA